GUGAGGAGAACAAACUCAGUUUCUGGAGGCAUUGGAUUGAAAAUAAUGGUUGUGUUACAUGAAACAGUUAAGAGAGUAAUUCUGUAGAGAAGACCAACGUAGAGGAAAGCAAGAUAAACAGGUACCCAGGGAACCAUAGAAUUCAUACUCCACUUCCACCUCUCCCAAGCUUGCCGUUUUCUUCCAAGUUCCCAUAUAACUUACCUCUCUGCAGAUCGCACCACUCCUUGUGUUGGGAAGCACAAGGUGAGUCAGCCACUUCCAUAAAUAUUUUUGGCGUGGGGGGGGGUGGAAGUUUUUUGCUGUGGUGGUGGAAAGCCGUAUGAGUAGUUGACAAG
rnacentral:lncRNA from 1 species